AACUGUUGUGCUCUGCAGGUGGGGAUAUGGAAGCACAAGACUGUCUCUGACAACCACGUCACGCAGGCCACUGUCCCUCCUACCCAGAUGGGCUCUGCGCUGGGCCGGGAAUUCUGCCCCCAGGGCUGAUGUGAGGACGAAGUUCUUCACUUAUCUGUUAUGAGUUUUCACCAUCAACUACUGCUGCUCUUCUUUUGGGGUGAGAAAUGGGACUUGCCUUGGAAAGAAGGCUUUGCUUUGCCCUUGGGAAGGUGGAGAGUUGCGAAAAAGAAUGAAUGGCUGGGCUUAAUGGUGUGAGUUGGUUUUGUGUGCUCUAGGGUGAGAAGUCUGUUUUUCCCAUGGGAGAAGGGUUUUGUCUUUCUGGUCCAAGAACUCGAGGACCUUGCUAGAAGAGCGUUCCAGCCACAUUCUCUUUUCACCUGCUUCUGGAGUUUGGGGUUGAGCAGCCUGGAGUGCACAGAACCUUGGCAUCCCUGGUUCAGGGUUCUGCAAAUGGGCCAAGCCCACUCUCAGAGCUGUGCGGGUGCAUCCAACAUCCAACAGUGCCUGUACCCUGCCUGCUCUGGAAAUGAGGCCCCUGGAGAAAGGAGGCCUGGACUCUGGAGAGGGGACACCAGUCUUGGGGCCUGGCCGAUACACAAGGACACAGGGAUCUUUGAUAAACAGGGUUUGGCUUUCUUCUCAGAGUUGUGAUUUCUUGCCUGGUUCCCAUGAGCCCCUGGGAAGCCAGACCUGGAACACUGGAGCCUGGUAUUCUCUGUUGUAGGGAAUCCAGGGUGAAGUGUGGCCACGCCUUGGGCUGUUCUGGAGAGCUACAGUGGGGGAGAAGCUUGUGGAGUUCUGUGACACAGUGACUGGCCAGGAAGCCCAGAGCAGAGGCGACAAGACACAGCCAGAUCAGGGAGAAGGCCUGCCAGCAAUCCAGACAUCCAUGCCGUGAGCUUUCUGCAAGGCCUCAGGCAGGGCUCCAGAAGGCCACCUCUGGGACGGUGGGGUCCUACAGGUGGUCAGAGCUGGGUUUACUUUAGCAAGAUCAUAUGUUCAGAGGUAAAGCCCAUGGGGGUGAAGACCUGGCAGGUGCAUUCCACCAAUCUGGCCAUGGGAGGAAGGACACCUGUGCUUUUUGUGAGUGGCCAUGUGUUUUUGUGGCUCUAGGAGUCAGGGUUAGAGCCAGAUUAAGAAAAAACAGAACCCCAAAUGCUGUGAAUUUAAGGCUUCUUUGGCCAUUCAGGUAAAAAAUAACCUGUGCCAAGUGGAUCAAGCUUGAUGUGGGUGCGAGGGAAGCAGCAUGGGGCUGUCAUUUCAAUCAGGGCACAAACACUGGAGAGAAAAUAAAUACUUUAGAAGGCACUUGACCUUUUAAUGUGGAGUUCUAAAAAUGGAGAUUGAACACAGUGAUGCUUAACAGAGGCAAAGAGAGCCAGGCUGCUACCAGAUUCUUUCUACCCAAGAGUCUGGCUCUCCUUCCUGGCAUUAGCAGGGCAGCCCUGUUACCUGGGUGGGCCCAAGAACAGCUGUUACCUGGAUGAACCUAAGAACAGCCCUAUUACCUGGGUAAACACAAGAACAGCCUGUUAUUUGGAUGAACCUGAGGUUAGUUCUGUUACUAAGCAGGCUUGUGUAAGAAGCAUUACCGCCUAAGAACACCACACUGCGGGAAGGCCAAGGGCCAUGUAAUGAGGUACCAUGUUCAGAGGAAGACCAAGGAGCACCAAGGAGGCAGCAGACUGAGUGGAGAGGAAUAUGCAGGGGAUGCUGUGUGGUCAGAAUGAAGCUUCCCCGUGUCACUCGAAGAAGCAGCAAGACUCUGUCUUAACGUGGCAUGCUGUUGCUAUUAUUUCCGUCGAAGCCAUGAGACCCUGGAUGAGAGCAGUGGCAGGGUGUGUGAGUUAACAUCGCAUGCUUUCCUGCUCCACUGCCCCACUCAUGAGGUCAUAGCAUAGCUUCUUGCACUUGUCCUUCUCUGAAUGGCAGCCACUUGGAUCCUCCAGGUGUUUCUCCAAGGGGCAGGGCUUUCAGCACAGAAUCAACAGGACAAAACCAUCUGGAAAGUCCAGAGGCGUGUUCGGCAGCAUGUGGGAGCAGAGCUGCAGUAAACGGUGCCUCCUUGUCUGCCCAUCUCAGCUGUUCAGCUGACUUCUUGGCGUCUCCAGCUGUCUUCUCUAUCUCAUCCUGAUGACUCCUUCCCACAACUCUUUCCCUGGCUGCCGCGCCGGUCCAGCUGCAGCCUGCAUUCACAGUUACUUACCUGUGGGGCUUUCUUGUUUCUGCGAUGGCCAAAUUGUCUUCUGAAAUUUACCUCCAUGACUCUGGUUAUAUAUUUUGGUUCCUAGUGGGUGCCGACGUCACAGUGGGCUGAUUAGAUGGUUUGCAUUACUUGUUGGCAGGCCUUCGAGCCUCCUGUGCAGUUUCCUGAAAAUAUUCCAUCUGCAGGUGGGAAGCCCAAGCCCCUGGGCAAAUUAUGCCAUGAGUGUGUCUUGGCAGUCGUUCUGAGUUCAAAUGACUUGUGCCGUGGUUCAAGCAUUCCCUGGGGAUUGUCUGGAUCUGAGCUCCUGGUGGUGCGAAGCCAGCCUUUGGUGCCAGCCUGGCCCAGUACCAUCCUUUGACUGCUGACCCCACCAGAGGCUGAGGAUUUGGUGUGAGCAGGGACACAGCAGGUCCCAGGAAAGUCUGCUGAGUGAAUGGGCGAAUAAAAUAGUCUCAAGCCCUGUAUGUUAUUCCCUCCUUGCCCCUACUCAGAACUCCUCCUCACUUCCAAUCAGAACUUGUCUCCUCUCUGCCAGAAGGUCAGCACUGGUGAUGCCUGGAGUUCAUGCCUCCUGUCCCGCCAUGGUUCUGUGGACUGCUGGCUAUUGUGGGGAGCUAUCUUCCUGGUGAGCUUUGCAGGGCAGGGUCCCAACAGGAGAGCAGAAGCAAGAUGCAUGGCGUGGAUGAGGGAUUCUUUCCAGGGGUUAGACCCUGCAGGACCAUGGGGGAGCUGGGCAGAAAAGUACAACGGGUGUUGGAGGAUCUGAGAAAAGGCAUCAACCGGCCUUCCUGAAUCCCUGGCCUGUGGCAAGAGAGGCAAGUCAGAGCAUGGGGCAUGGGGCACAAAGGGGAGUAGGCGGGGUCUAUGGAGUGCCACAACCUCUAGCAUAAAGUCCAGGCUCAAUGUCUGCUGCUGGGCCUGGGGCCCCUUGUGGUCAGUGGGAAGGGUCAGGCCCAGAGGAGGGAGGGCAGCUCUGUGUUUGCUUGUCACUGUAGAGGCCACGACAACCUUCAGGGUACAAGCUGCUGCUUCACUUCCAUUUUGCAAAUCUCAGGCAGAACCCCUCUUUUGGCCAACUCUCUACAUGGAAGAGGGUUCUGGAAAGAUAAUCCCGGUUACAUCACGUAUGACCCAGGUUCAUCAUGUAAUACUAACUGCCGUGGCUGGAUCUCAGAUUUCUUUGUGUGCCAUUGAGUGUUUUACCCAGGGCAGAUACAAAUGAGUGAUGGGGAGGAAACAGGCUAAGGGGGCAAAUGCAAUGCUUUUGUUGACCCAGCCUUCAUUAUGGGUUCACUACUGAUCACCAUACCAGCAAAUGCUGCCUCCUGCCCCAAGGCUGUGAUAAGGAGCACGUGAAAGCAGUCUGUCCAUUUCCAAAAUACUGUCACUUCAAGAGUGAUGUGUAAAUGGCAUCAUACAGUGUGGAACCUUUUGGGAUUGGCUUUUUUCACUCAGCAUAAUUCCCUGGAGAUUCAUCCAAGUUUUAUGUAUCAACAGUCCAUUCCAUCUAAUGGCUGUGUGGUGUUCCACAGUCUGGGUGUACACAAAGUGUUUAACAAUUUACCUGUGAGCUGAAGGACAUCUGGGUUGACGAUUACACAUUUUUGACUACUACAAAUAAAGCUGCCAUGAACAUUCA